GAGACACAAUGACAACCAAAAAAUUUAAGGCCAGUAUCACUGAUGAACAAUGAUGUGAAAAUCCUCAAUAAAACACUGGCAAACCAAAUCCAGCAGCACAUCAAAAAGCUUAGCCACCACGAUCAUGUUGGCUUCUUCCCUGGGCUGCAAGGCUGGUUCAACAUACUCAAAUCAAUAAAUGUAAUCCACCAUAUAAAGAGAACCAAUGACAAAAAUCACAUGAUUAUCUCAAUAGAUGCAGACAAGGCCUUCAAUAUAAUUCAACACCCCUUCAUGCUAAAAACUCUCAAUAAACUAGGUAUUGAUGGAACGUAUCUCAAAAUAAUAAGAGCUAUUUAUGAUGAACCCACAGCCAAUAUCAUACUGAAUGGGCAAAAGCUGGAAGCAUUCCCUUUGAAAAUCGGCACAAGACAAGGAUGACCUCUCUCAUCACUCCUAUUCAACAUAAUAUUGAAAGUUCUGGCCAGGGCAAUCAGGCAAGAGAAAGAAAUAAAGGGUAUUCAAAUAGGAAGAGAGGAAGUCAAAAUGUCUCUGUUUGCAGAUGACUUGAUUUAGCCGGGCGUGGUGNNNNNNNNNUCUCAAAAAAAAAAAAAAAGAAUGACUCCUCCUCUCCUCUCAGCCCACAGGUUUUGUCUUUGUCUAGCUUAAGGGUCAAGAACUUAUGCAAAUUGGGAGUAUUGGUGCUGUAUUCCAUGGCCCUUGGG
rnacentral:lncRNA from 1 species